CCUACGGGAGGCAGCAGUAGGGAAUAUUGCUCAAUGGGGGAAACCCUGAAGCAGCAACGCCGCGUGGAGGAUGAAGGUUUUAUGAUUGUAAACCCCCUUUGUGAGAGAAGAUAAUGACGGUACCUCACUAAUAAGGACCGGCCAACUCCGUGCCAGAAGCCGCGGUAACACGGAGGGUGCAAGCGUUACCCGGAAUCACUGGGCGUAAAGGGUGUGCAGGCGGGCUUGUAAGUCAGAUGUGAAAUCCUGUAGCUUAACUACAGAACUGCAGUUGAAACUAUGAGUCUAGAGUGUGGGAGAGGUAGGUGGAAUGCUUGGUGUAGGGGUAAAAUCCGUAGAUAUCAAGAAGAAUACUCAUUGCGAAGGCGACCUACUGGAACAUUACUGACGCUCAUGCACGAAAGCGUGGGGAGCAAACAGGAUUAGAUACCCCAGUAGUC
rnacentral:rRNA from 1 species